rnacentral:rRNA from 1 species
UACGAAGGGGGCGAGCGUUGUUCGGAUUUACUGGGCGUAAAGGGCGCGUAGGCGGCGGGCCAAGUCGAGUGUGAAAGCCCCGGGCUCAACCUGGGAGGUGCGCUCGAGACUGGUUUGCUGGAGUUCGGGAGAGGAGCGUGGAAUUCCCAGUGUAGAGGUGAAAUUCGUAGAUAUUGGGAAGAACACCGGUGGCGAAGGCGGCGCUCUGGACCGAGACUGACGCUGAGGCGCGAAAGCGUGGGGAGCAAACAGG